rnacentral:rRNA from 1 species
GAUGAACGCUGGCGGCGUGCCUAAUACAUGCAAGUCGAGCGAACAGACGAGGAGCUUGCUCCUCUGCCGUUAGCGGCGGACGGGUGAGUAACACGUGGAUAACCUACAUCUAAGACUGGGUUAACUUCGGACCACCGGAGCUAAUACCGGAUAAUAUAUUGAACCGCAUGGUUCAAUAGUGAAAGACGGUUUUGCUGUCACUUAUAGAUGGAUCCGCGCCGCAUUAGCUAGUUGGUAAGGUAACGGCUUACCACGGCAACGAUGCGUAGCCGACCUGAGAGGGUAGACGCGCACACUGUAACUGAGACACGGUCCAGACUCCUACGGGAGGCAGCAGUAGGGAAUCUUCCGCAAGGGGCGAAAGCCUGACGGAGCAACGCCGCGUGAGUGAUGAAGGUCUUCGGAUCGGAAAACUCUGUUAUUAGGGAAGAACAAAUGUGUAAGUAACUAGGCACGUCUUGACGGUACCGAAUCAGAAAGCCACGGCUAACUACGUG